GGACGCGCGACAAAAUGGCUGGCAG
rnacentral:piRNA from 1 species